UUACACAUGCAAGUCGGACGGCAGCACAGAGAAGCUUGCUUCUUGGGUGGCGAGUGGCGAACGGGUGAGUAACAUAUCGGAACGUACCGAGCAGUGGGGGAUAACUAAUCGAAAGAUUAGCUAAUACCGCAUAUAUUCUGAGGAAGAAAGCAGGGGACCAUUUGGCCUUGCGCUGUUUGAGCGGCCGAUAUCUGAUUAGCUAGUUGGUGGGGUAAAGGCCUACCAAGGCGACGAACAGUAGCGGGUCUGAGAGGAUGAUCCGCCACACUGGGACUGAGACACGGCCCAGACUCCUACGGGAGGCAGCAGUGGGGAAUUUUGGACAAUGGGCGCAAGCCUGAUCCAGCCAUGCCGCGUGUCUGAAGAAGGCCUUCGGGUUGUAAAGGACUUUUGUCAGGGAAGAAAAGGGCGGGGUUAAUACCCCUGUCUGAUGACGGUACCUGAAGAAUAAGCACCGGCUAACUACGUGCCAGCAGCCGCGGUAAUACGUAGGGUGCGAGCGUUAAUCGGAAUUACUGGGCGUAAAGCGGGCGCAGACGGUUACUUAAGCAGGAUGUGAAAUCCCCGGGCUCAACCUGGGAACUGCGUUCUGAACUGGGUGACUAGAGUGUGUCAGAGGGAGGUAGAAUUCCACGUGUAGCAGUGAAAUGCGUAGAGAUGUGGAGGAAUACCGAUGGCGAAGGCAGCCUCCUGGGAUAACACUGACGUUCAUGCCCGAAAGCGUGGGUAGCAAACAGGAUUAGAUACCCUGGUAGUCCACGCCCUAAACGAUGUCGAUUAGCUGUUGGGCAGCAUGACUGCUUAGUAGCGAAGCUAACGCGUGAAAUCGACCGCCUGGGGGUACGGUCGCAAGAUU
rnacentral:rRNA from 1 species